AAAGCCCUAGGGCGUUGGUCGUCAUAGCAGCAUCGCACCACCAUCCAACCUCCGAUCUCGCACGGCCAACUGUCUCCGACCAUCUUCUCCAACCAUUUGGGAGAAGUUGUUUCCAAACGUUUCAAUAUUUCAUUACGUUUGACCAGCUUCUAAACCAAUUUUCCCUUCCAUCUUACGAAGACAUCCUAUUUUUCUUCUUCAGCGAUUCCCCACUUCUCCUCUAAUUACUUUCUCGGCUUCUCCCCUGACUUACAACAAGAAAACCCUAGUUCUUUCCUUUAACUCGUCUUCGCAAAAUCAAGCGCAUACAACCAUCAUCUAUGAGAGUACGUUUGUCUUCUUCCUCUUACAAUCGCUAAGCCCUAACACCGAAAAUUGAAAGUCAAUUGACCCUCCGUUCGAAGGAAAAAGUAAGAAUUUUCCUUUAUUUAUUCCAUUCCGUUACUUUGACCUCAUAUUCUUCUGUUCUUCGUCUUUUUUCUUCAAAAUUAUCAACUCUAGCCCUAUACUGUGUUUUCUUUAAAUGGAGAACCAUUCAAUUUAGGGCUUGAUUGCAAUUUUCUCCACGAAGCCCUUCUUCAGUAGUCAGCUUUUUCAUCUUUUUCUGAAGGACCAAUGCCCUUCUUUAGUGAUUUCAGGAUCCAUGUCCCAUAUGAAGGAACAAUGUUUGAUCUGUUAAGGUCGGAUCCAGAUGAUAGAUGCGGGUAGGGGUUCUCUCCACAUGGGGCUGGAUACACAUUCAGACAAGACAUUGCGUCUCACUUCAACUAUACAAAUGGGCUUACUCUCAUCUCCAGAGCUCACCAGCUUUUCAUGGAGGGUUUCAACUGGUGUCAUGUAUAUUUACUUAAUUAACCCUCCAUCCCUCUAUCCCUCUUUAAUGAUAAUUAUUAGGCUUAUUAAUAAUUUUCUGAUUGAUAUUAGGACAAGAAUGUGGUGACAGUGUUUAGUGCACCAAACUACUACAUGACAGUGUUAAUAUCAGUUUCCCUGUUCUUUUUUAUACUUGAUGCACCUUUGAUGUAUCAAGUUGCCUAUGUUUUCCUUGUCAUAUCUAAUUUUUGGAAGAGUAUGAAACGAGGAAUGGGCAUGGUUAUGUUCUUUAUGCACAGUGCUUCUUACUUCAAAAACAGAGUUGGAUCAGUAUUGGGGGGAGUCGCAAGUCAUGGGGCCCCAACAACACGUAUGACCUCAUUGGCAAGCUGCGUUCUAUUAAGCAUUAUCUUAUUCUGGAUCAGGGUGAUUUCUUGGUUCAUUUUACGGAUAUUGCACUUGAUGAACUUGAUAAAGCACCAAAUGAGAUCUCUGUUGAGAAGCUUCAGUCUUUGUUGGAUCUUGCACUACGUUCAACAGCGGCUGCAGCAGAUCCUUUGCAUGAGGAUGUCACAUGUUCUGUGGCCAGUUUCAUUUAUUCCCAUUACAACAUAACAAUCUACUUCCAUGCAAAAUGACAAAUUUGGACUCAUCUUCUUCAUCUAUGUGGGGAUUUGUGCAGUUAAGUGAGAAGUUGGAUCCUGAAACUAUGAAUUUGAUUGGAGAGGAGUUUAUGAUGGAGGGACUUCUUCUAUCUAAUUCCACUACUUCUACUACUUCAAUAAUAACUGAUUUCUUCCUUGAGCUGGAUGGGCACAACAGCUGCUGAUGUGACUUAGUAGGGUUAAUGGUGUUACUGUCACCUUCCUCUAGGAUCUUCUUAAGUACUUACAUCGUAAAAAUUAGAAAUCAUCUUUUAUCUUUCUUCUUAAAGGAAUCCAAUGUCUUAUCAUCAGGGCUCUCACAAUAAGAGAAAUGCAUGAAAAGUUUCAAAUGGUGGUUGUCCGACAUACCGGCCAUGCGAUCGAGGAGGAUAUUCCUGAUGAGUAUGGAGGUCAUGCAGAAGUUAGAUCACAAUCUUGUGUCAACUACACAAAUGUUGGUGAAAUCACAUGAACAGAUCAUCUACACAAAUGUUGCUCUAGAUCCGUAUUCUUCAGAUGGGCAUGAUGGUAUUGUCAGAGAAGAUGGAGUCAUAAUGAAUGAUGGGAUUGUGCAUCAGUUGUGUAAACAAGCUGUUUCACAGGUAUUUACCAUUUCAACUUAUGACUUUUGACUUCAAGGGUGUUGAUAUUCUCACAAGGUUGACUUUAAGAAGAUUAUGAGUGAUAACUGGGUGGAGCCUCCACAAGUAUCAUAUGGAAACAAAAGAAGCAUACCAAUAAGAAGUAGAAACAAGAAGGUGUUCCUUAAUAGCAAUGUACUAUUAGCUUAUAUAGUUAGAGAAAACCUCUUAAUAACAAUGUACAAUUAGAUCCCCUUAAUAUCAAUGUAUUACAAUUUUUUGACAUGAUGUUAUUGGAUGAUAUUGAUAGUUUUGGUAUA